rnacentral:rRNA from 1 species
UUAUACAUGAGCAAAAUCUCAACUUUAUUAGAAGAGACGCAUUUAUUAGAUAAAAAGCCAGUUCAUGCUUUUACAGUAUGAAAAUUGGUGAUUUAUAAUAACUUAGCAAAUCGCAAAGUGAAAACAGGCGAUAAAUCAUUCAAGUUUCUGACCUAUCAGCUUUCGACGGUAUGGUAUUGGCUUACCGUGGCAGUGACGGUUAACGGGGGAUUAGGGUUCGAUUCCGGAGAGGGAGCCUGAGAAACGGCUACCACAUCUAAGGAAGGCAGCAGGCGCGCAAAUUACCCAAUUCUAACAGUUUGAGAGAGGUAGUAACAAGAAAUAACAAUACAAGGCAGUUAAAAUGCUUUGUAAUUGGAAUGAUAGAAAUUUAAACCCUUUUUAAAGUAUCAAUUGGAGGGCAAGUCUGGUGCCAGCAGCCGCGGUAAUUCCAGCUCCAAUAGCGUAUAUUAAAAUUGUUGCAGUUAAAAAGCUCGUAGUUGAAGUUCUGCUGAAAGUAACCGGUCUGCUUUUAAUAAAAGUGGUAUCUUGGUAUGUAUUUAGCAAUGAUGUCCUUUGAAGUGUUUUUUACUUUAUUGUAAUAAAGCAUAUUCAGGACUUUUACUUUGAGAAAAUUAGAGUGUUUCUAGCAGGCUAACGCUUUGAAUACUGCAGCAUGGAAUAAUAAGA